rnacentral:rRNA from 1 species
GAUGAACGCUGGCGGCGUGCCUAAUACAUGCAAGUCGAGCGAACGGACGAUAAUCUUUCUUCUCUGAUGUUAGCGUCGUACGGGUGUUUUACACGUUGAUAACCUACCUAUAAGUCUUGCAUAUUUUCGUGAAACCGUAGCUAAUACCGGAUAAUAUUUUGAACCUCAUGGUUCUAAAGUGAAAGACGGUCUUGCUGUCACUUCUAGUUUAUUCCGUGCUGCAUUAGCUAGUUGGUAAGGUAACGGUUUACCAAGGCAACGAUGCAUAGACGACCUGAGAGGGUGAUCGGCGAAAAUGGAAUGGAGACACGAUGCAGAAUCCUACGGGAGGCAGCAGUAGGGAAUAUUCGGCAAUGGGCGAAAGCCUGACGGAGAAACGCCGCGUGAGUGAUGAAGGUCUUCGGAUCGUAAAACUCUGUUAUUAGGGAAGAAAAUAUGAGUAAGUAACUGUGCACAGCUUGACGGUACCUAAUCAGAAAGCCACGGCUAACUACGUG